CGUAGGUGGCAAGCGUUGUCCGGAUUUACUGGGCGUAAAGGGCGUGCAGGCGGUCUGUUAAGUUCAGGGUGAAAGCUCCCGGCUCAACUGGGAGAGGUCCUUGGAUACUGGCAGACUUGAGGGAGGUAGAGGAGAGUGGAAUUCCCGGUGUAGUGGUGAUAUGCGUAGAUAUCGGGAGGAACACCAGUGGCGAAGGCGGCUCUCUGGGCCUUUCCUGACGCUGAGACGCGAAAGCGUGGGGAGCGAACCGGAUUAGGUACCCGGGUAGUCCACGCCGUAAACUAUGAACACUAGGUGUGGGGGGUAUCGACCCCCUCCGUGCCGAAGCUAACGCAAUAAGUGUUCCGCCUGGGGAGUACGGCCGCAAGGCUA
rnacentral:rRNA from 1 species